rnacentral:rRNA from 1 species
GAUGAACGCUGGCGGCGUGCCUAAUACAUGCAAGUCGAGCGAACGGACGAGAAGCUCGCUUUACUGAUGUUAGCGGCGGACGGGCGAGUAACACGUGGAUAACCUACCUAUAAGACUGGGAUAACUACGGGAAACCGGAGCUAACAACGGAUAAUAUUUUUAACCGCAUGGUUCAAUAGUCAAAGAAGAUCUUGCUGUCACUUAUAUAUGGAUCCGCGCUGCGUUAUCUAGUUGGUAAGGUCACGGCUUACCAAGGCAACGCUGCAUAGCCGACCUGAGAGGGUGGGUUGACACACUAGAACUGAACCGCGGUACAGACCACUACGGGAGGCAGCAGUAGGGAAUGGUACGCAAUGGGAGAAAGCCUGACGGAGAAAAGCCGCGUGGGUGAAAAAGGUCUUCGGAUAGUAAAACUAUGUUAUUAGGGAAGAACAUAUGUGUAAGUAACUGUGCACAUCUUGACGGUACCUAAUCAGAAAGCCACGGCUAACUACGUG